rnacentral:rRNA from 1 species
UACGGAGGGUGCAAGCGUUAAUCGGAAUUACUGGGCGUAAAGCGCACGCAGGUGGCUGAGUCAGUCGAUUGUGAAAGCCCUGGGCUUAACCUGGGAAUUGCAGUCGAUACUACUCAGCUAGAGUAUGGGAGAGGGCAGUGGAAUUCCCGGUGUAGCGGUGAAAUGCGUAGAUAUCAGGAGGAACACCGGUGGCGAAGGCGGGUCUCUGGGCCGAUGACUGACACUGAGGAGCGAAAGCGUGGGGAGCGAACAGG